rnacentral:rRNA from 1 species
CCUACGGGGUGCAGCAGUGGGGAAUAUUGCACAAUGGGCGCAAGCCUGAUGCAGCCAUGCCGCGUGUAUGAAGAAGGUCUUCGGAUUGUAAAGCACUUUCGACGGGGACGAUGAUGACGGUACCCGUAGAAGAAGCACCGGCUAACUCCGUGCCAGCAGCCGCGGUAAUACGGAGGGUGCAAGCGUUAAUCGGAAUUACUGGGCGUAAAGCGCACGCAGGCGGUUUGUUAAGUCAGAUGUGAAAUCCCCGGGCUCAACCUGGGAACUGCAUCUGAUACUGGCAAGCUUGAGUCUCGUAGAGGGGGGUAGAAUUCCAGGUGUAGCGGUGAAAUGCGUAGAGAUCUGGAGGAAUACCGGUGGCGAAGGCGGCCCCCUGGACGAAGACUGACGCUCAGGUGCGAAAGCGUGGGGAGCAAACAGGAUUAGAUACCCUUGUAGUC